CAACCUAAUUCUUUUCUCAUACAGCGUUCCUGAGCUCUGAGACUAAGUGGAAAGCCAGGAAGAGAUGCUAAUCUGGAUGACAGAUCCCCAGCCUGCACUGUAGAAAGGGUUGAAGUUUUAGAAGACAGAAGCAAAAUAGCAGAAGACAGAAGGGGGUGUGACUAGCCCAUCUUACCUAUUUCACUGAUGAUCAUCUACUUUAAUACAAAGCAUCCACAUCAAAACUGAAAGUAAAACUUGACCACAAC
rnacentral:lncRNA from 1 species